UGGUAACAGAAAUGGAUAGAGAAGAGAAGAGAAGAGAAGAGAGGAGAAGAAAGGAGGGUGAAGAUGUCGUCCACAUGUUUGCUACCACCUAUCAAUGGAGGCCACCUUCUCUUCUCUCUCAAUCACCAUCGCCUCUCUGCAACUCCCACUCCCUACAAGUGGGGAUGGAGAAGAUACCAGGCUGGAAACAUAGUUGCUUACAGAACCAAUGGCCACGCCCUUCAAAUGUUGCCCAAUCCUAAUGCGUCUCAAAAGAAAGGAAAUAAUGAGGUGAUCAUGGUUGAUCCUUUGGAAGCCAAGCGAUUGGCUGCCAAACAAAUGGAAGAAAUUAAAGCAAAGGAGAACUUCAGGAGAAAACGACAAAUAGAAGCAAUUAAUGGCGCAUGGGCGAUGAUUGGUCUGACAGCAGGCUUGGUUAUUGAAGGUCAAACUGGAAAAAGCAUUCUUGUUCAGCUGGCUGACUACUGGAGUGCUAUUGUCGACUUUUUCAUGCUAUAGAGAUUUGGAUGUCUGGCUGAAGAAUUGCAGAUUCGUUGCUGUAUCAUUCUUUACAAUUGACUAAAGAGAUAAUAGGACUAAAGAGCAGAAUAUGCAGCAUUUCUGUAGGAAAUCCAUAUCAAUAGGCAGCAUUUCAGUAGAAAAUCAUCACAUGGAGAAAACUUAAAAUCCAGAUCAAUAGACAGCAUUUCAGUAGGAAAAUACAUUCAAUCAAAGCAUUAGAUCCACGAUUCAAUCUCCACAUGAUGAGGAGGAGAUCAAGAGAGAUAUCAAUCUCCAAUCGAAAAUUUACCAUCUAACAUUAAUUGGGCUUCCUCCCUUUCAAGGCAUUGUACUUGCUGUGGAUCAUCUUUUUUAUAAAGGUGUGCAUCUGAAUGGAGUCACGAUCUGCCCAGUGGCCGAUCUGAAAUGAAAUUGGAGAGAGAGGAUUAAAGAACCAGAAAUCCUCCUUCUACAGAGAAAUUUCAGGAAUUGAUGAGAAGAAAUUGAAAAUCUAACAAUUCAGACGAAGCUUAGUUGCAGGUAAAAGGAGGUGAGGUCGUGACUCGUGAGGAUGAUGAGAGAAUGAUGAACAGAAGCGAUGCGUAGAACGAGGCUUCCACAAUUCCAUGGUUUUUGACUUUUUGGUGUUAUUGUGGGGGAGAUUUUGAGACUCUAGAGUCUCAUUUAAAAGAGUCCAUGUUGUUGUCAAACAUGGGAUAGUGUAACA